GACGAACGCCGGCGGCGUGCUUAACACAUGCAAGUCGAACGGAAAGGCCCUGCUUUUGUGGGGUGCUCGAGUGGCGAACGGGUGAGUAACACGUGAGUAACCUGCCCUUGACUUUGGGAUAACUUCAGGAAACUGGGGCUAAUACCGGAUAGGAGCUCCUGCUGCAUGGUGGGGGUUGGAAAGUUUCGGCGGUUGGGGAUGGACUCGCGGCUUAUCAGCUUGUUGGUGGGGUAGUGGCUUACCAAGGCUUUGACGGGUAGCCGGCCUGAGAGGGUGACCGGCCACAUUGGGACUGAGAUACGGCCCAGACUCCUACGGGAGGUAGCAGUGGGGAAUAUUGCACAAUGGGCGGAAGCCUGAUGCAGCAACGCCGCGUGCGGGAUGACGGCCUUCGGGUUGUAAACCGCUUUCGCCUGUGACGAAGCGUGAGUGACGGUAAUGGGUAAAGAAGCACCGGCUAACUACGUG
rnacentral:rRNA from 1 species